ensembl:misc_RNA Metazoa_SRP Metazoan signal recognition particle RNA
GCCAGGCACGGUGGUUCGUGCCUGUAAUCCCAGCACUUUGGGAGGCUGAGGUGGGUGGAUCACCUGAGGUCAGGAGUUCAAGACCAGCCUGGCCAACACGGUGAAACCCCAUCUCUA